rnacentral:antisense_RNA from 1 species
GCCAGUUGCACGGUGGCCGCGGCCGCCCCCACAUUCGAGGAGGAAGGUGCAAAGCGGUGGGAGACUGCGGGGGUGAGUCGUGGGGGUGAGGCGUGGGGGCGAGGCGGGAGCACAGCCGAGCUCCUACCUUUCGGGCGGGGCGGACACCAGCCGCGCGCCCUCGCCGGGCGCCGGGACCGGAAAAUCACCGCGAAGGGAGGGACGAGGAAAGGCGGCGGGCGGCUUCAGGACAAGGACUUUGUGAUUACAUUGGGCCCAUCCAGAUCAUCCAGGAUCAUCUUCCCAUCUCAAGAUUCUUCACUUAAUCACAUCUGCAAAAUUCCUUUUGCUGUCUGUGAGAUAUCAGUGGGCAAGGAUGUGACGCCUGAAGAUGUGGCAUCUACCUUGAAACAGCCAAGGACCUGAGGACGAAGCCAGCAUCUGAGGAAAACAGACAGAAAGGAUCUGGAUACAUGAUGAGCCUGAAAAGUAUCUUGCAUACACAACUGGUGGCACAGAAUCCUGACAAACCUCUCAUCAGAAGUCAACCACAGGCUCUCUAUGCUCUUACCAAAACGCUGGCUUUGAGAAAUAAUUAUGAAUGAAAAUUACUGAUGUGAUUUUCAGGUGAGAGACCCUAUUAGACAAAACUUCGGAUUCAUUUUUUUCUCUUGAGUAAAACAUGGGGAAAAAUCUU